rnacentral:rRNA from 1 species
UCGAGGAUCUUCGGCAAUGGGCGCAAGCCUGACCGAGCGACGCCGCGUGUGCGACGAAGGCCUUCGGGUUGUAAAGCACUGUCGAGGGGGAGGAAAGCCGCAAGGUCUGACCUAUCCCUGGAGGAAGCACGGGCUAAGUUCGUGCCAGCAGCCGCGGUAAGACGAACCGUGCGAACGUUGUUCGGAAUCACUGGGCUUAAAGGGCGCGUAGGCGGACAUUCAAGUCAGGGGUGAAAUCCUCCGGCUCAACCGGAGAACUGCCUUUGAUACUGGGUGUCUCGAGUGAGGUAGGGGCGUGCGGAACUGAUGGUGGAGCGGUGAAAUGUGUUGAUAUCAUCAGGAACUCCGGUGGCGAAAGCGGCGCGCUGGACCUUAACUGACGCUGAGGCGCGAAAGCCAGGGGAGCGAACGGGAUUAGAUACCCCCGUAGUCC